CCCCCCCCCCCCCCCCUAAGAUUUAUCAAGAUCCGGGAGUCAUUUUCCUGUCUGACUCUCAUGACGACAAUGACCCCUCACUUCCCCCUCUCAUAAAGAUCAACUUCUCUUCCUUAUAUUGUGCAAACCCCUUUCCUCCCUUUUAUUUUCAUCAAAUACAACUCCAGCUUCUGUCUCAUUAAAUAUUUCUUGCUAGCUCACCCUAGUUGCAGUCAUAAUGACACCAUAUGUACAUAUUCUGCCAUCCUUUUAUUAUCUGAUGCAUAAAAGCUUUCUGCGAUGCUUGCAAAAGAAAUCCAAAGGCCAGCUCAUCAUGUUCUUCCUUCUCCCAUCUUGCAAGUACUGAUUCUUUUCCACCACAUGACUGGGACCCAAACACACAUCACGAAGUACCCAGUAAUUAAUGGACAUGACUGUUGGUUGUUACUAUGUUAUGCAUAUAUCUCACUAUAUUUUUCGCAGGGUAAAUGCAUAUAGAGUGCAGUGUAGAUUUCUUUCUUUUCAUGUCUCCCUCAUUUCUUUUCUGCCAGCUGCUAUGUAUAGUUACUAUUUUUAUAAAUUUUCUUAUUUAAUAUGUAUUUGUAUGCAGUUAGUUAGUUCCUUUUUCUUUUUUCUGUUUUUUUUAUAGCUUUCCUAUUAAUUUAGGCAAUGACACUGUUGAUGAUAAGCUAUCAGCUGGUAUUUUGCAUAUGUGUAAUGUGUGUUCUUGUUUUUUUAUUA